GACGAACGCUGGCGGCGUGCUUAACACAUGCAAGUCGAACGGAAAGGCCCUGCUUUUGUGGGGUACUCGAGUGGCGAACGGGUGGGUAACACGUGAGUAACCUGCCCUUGCCUUUGGGAUAACUUCAGGAAACUGAGGAUAAUACCGGCUAGGAGCGCCCGCUGCUUGGCGGGGGGUGGAAAGGUACGGCGGUUGGGGCUGGUCUGCCGGCUUAUCAGCUUGUAGGUGGGGUAGUGGCUUACCAAGGCUUUGACGGGUAGCCGGCCUGGGAGGGUGACCGGCCACAGUGGGACUGAGGUACGGCCCAGACGGCUACGGGCGGCAGCAGUGGGGGAUAUUGCGCAAUGGGCGGAAGCCGGAUGCAGCAACUCCGCGUGCGAGAUGACGGCCUUCGGGUAGGAAACCGCUUUCGCCUGUGACGAAGCGUGAGUGACGGUAAUGGGUAAAAAAGCACCGGCUAACUACGUG
rnacentral:rRNA from 1 species